UCUGGGUUCAGGUCCGUACCCCUACACAAAAAGAACUACACAAUUUGACUGCUUUACUAUAUACGCCACAUCCCCUUCAAAA